rnacentral:rRNA from 1 species
UCAGACGAUGCGUCAUGCAUAUCAAUAAGCGGAGGAAAAGAAACUAACAAGGAUUCCCUUAGUAACGGUGAGUGAAGCGGGAAGAGCUCAAAUUUGAAAUCUUCAAGGUUUUACCUUGACGAAUUGUAGUUUAAAGAAGUGUUUUCUGCUGAAGUUUUGGUAAAAGUUCUUUGGAAUAGGACAUCAUAGAGGGUGAGAAUCCCGUAUUUGACCAUUAUUUUCAGCUUUGUGAUACACUUUCAAAGAGUCGGAUUGUUUGGGAAUGCAGUCCAAAAUGGGUGGUAAAUUUCAUCUAAAGCUAAAUAUUGGCGAGAGACCGAUAGCGAACAAGUACCGUGAGGGAAAGAUGAAAAGAACUUUGAAAAGAGAGUUAAACAGUACGUGAAAUUGUCAAAAGGGAAGCGUUUGACACCAGUGUUGUUUUCUCGAAAAUCAAUUAAAAAUGGCUCGAUUUUGUAUUGCUUGAGACCUUAAAAGCUCACUGUACAUUUUUCGUGUCUUUUUUAAUGCACUUUUCGUUUAACAAGUCAACAUCAGUUUCUUUUGUUGUAAAAGGGUCAUUGGAAGGUGGCUUUCUUUUCGGAGAAAGUGUUUAUAGCCUUUGGCCUCUGCAAUCGAAGAGACUGAGGUCUGCAGCGUAGACUCUUCGGGGUUAGAUACAUUUGUGCUAAGUUAUAGCUUUUUAUAGACAACUUGUUGACUAUAAUUAGUCUUGUAGCUUACUCGCUUAUGCUAUUUUACCUACGCUUAGGAUGUUGACGAUCAGCUGAGCGCG